rnacentral:misc_RNA from 1 species
GGUGGUGAAGUCGCUCGG